AUUGAACGCUGGCGGCAGGCCUAACACAUGCAAGUCGAACGGUAACAGGAAGACGCUUGCUUCUUUGCUGACGAGUGGCGGACGGGUGAGUAAUGUCUGGGAAACUGCCUGAUGGAGGGGGAUAACUACUGGAAACGGUAGCUAAUACCGCAUAACGUCGCAAGACCAAAGAGGGGGACCUUCGGGCCUCUUGCCAUCUGCUGUGCCCAGAUGGGAUUUGCUAGUAGGUGGGGUAACGGCUCACCUAGGCGACGAUCCCUAGCUGGUCUGAGAGGAUGACCAGCCACACUGGAACUGAGAAACGGUCCAGACUCCUACGGGAGGCAGCAGUGGGGAAUAUUGGACAAUGGGCGAAAGCCUGAUGCAGCCAUGCCGCGUGUAUGAAGAAGGCCUUCGGGUUGUAAAGUACUUUCAGCGGGGAGGAAGGGAGUAAAGUUAAUACCUUUGCUCAUUGACGUUACCCGAAGAAGAAGCACCGGCUAACUCCGUG
rnacentral:rRNA from 1 species